ensembl:snoRNA
AUCCUAUUUGGUUUGUAAAUGUGACUAUUGGGUGUGUAUGCUAUUGUGUGAGAUGUACCUCCCUCCUGAAUCUUGUUAAGAUGUCAACACCUCACCUGUCUGAUG